UCUAUCUAUUCCUUUUCUUCUCAGUGCAAAAACGACAAUAAAAACAAAACAGCAACGAUUUAAGUCAGCCGCCACUGCCACCGGCAGAAGUUUUUUUUUUCUAAUUUGUGCAGUGGAGUUGUUGAUCACAUCUACGGAAUCAAGAGAUUCGGUUCAUGACUGGAAAACUAUGGCGCGUUUUAAAAUCUACAAGAGGGGCUGGGGUCGCUGGAUAAGCCGCGCCGGUAGUCUUGGAAGCUGCAAGUCAUAACACGACGAUUAACACGAAUGAGGACAUCCUGUUGCAUGAGCGCCUAUAAACCUGCUCAGUUUAAUGAAUUUUAGGUUUAAAAUAAAUACAAUAUGGAAUAAAAUUUAAAAAAUGAAUAAAUUUAAUUUAUAAAGAAAAACAUGAA